CCUACGGUGCGCAGCAGUGGGGGAUAUUGCACAAUGGGGGAAACCCUGAUGCAGCGACGCCGCGUGUGGGAAGACGGUCCUAUGGAUUGUAAACCACUGUCCCCAGGGACGAAAAUGACGGUACCUGGGGAGGACGCUCCGGCUAACUACGUGCCAGCAGCCGCGGUAAUACGGAGGGAGCGAGCGUUGUCCGGAAUUCCUGGGUGUAAAGGGCGCGUAGGCGGGGAUGCAGGUUGGGUGUCAAAACUACCGGCUCAACUGGUAGUCGCACUCAAAACUGCAGCUCUUGAGUGAAGUAGAGGCAGGCGGAAUUCCUAGUGUAGCGGUGAAAUGCGUAGAUAUUAGGAGGAACACCAGUGGCGAAGGCAGCCUGCUGGGCUUUGACUGACGCUGAGGCUCGAAAGUGUGGGGAGCAAACAGGAUUAGAUACCCCUGUAGUC
rnacentral:rRNA from 1 species